rnacentral:rRNA from 1 species
GCCUACGGGAGGCAGCAGUAGGGAAUCUUAGACAAUGGGGGCAACCCUGAUCUAGCCAUGCCGCGUGAGUGAUGAAGGCCCUAGGGUUGUAAAGCUCUUUUGUGCGGGAAGAUAAUGAUGGUAUCGGGAGAAUAAGCUCCCGGCUAACUCCGUGCCAGCAGCCGCGGUC